ACGCUGGCGGCAUGCCUAAUACAUGCAAAUCGAACGAAGCCUUUUAGGCUUAGUGGUGAACGGGUGAGUAACACGUAUCCAAUCUACCCUUAAGUUGGGGAUAACUAGUCGAAAGAUUAGCUAAUACCGAAUAAUAACAUCAAUAUCGCAUGAGAAGAUGUAGAAAGUCGCUCUUUGUGGCGACGCUUUUGGAUGAGGGUGCGACGUAUCAGAUAGUUGGUGAGGUAAUGGUUCACCAAGUCAAUGACGCGUAGCUGUACUGAGAGGUAGAACAGCCACAAUGGGACUGAGACACGGCCCAUACUCCUACGGGAGGCAGCAGUAGGGAAUUUUUCACAAUGGGCGCAAGCCUUAUGAAGCAAUGCCGCGUGAACGAUGAAGGUCUUAUAGAUUGUAAAGUUCUUUUAUAUGGGAAGAAACGCUAAAAUAGGAAAUGAUUUUAGUUUGACUGUACCAUUUGAAUAAGUAUCGGCUAACUAUGUGCCAGCAGCCGCGGUAAUACAUAGGAUGCAAGCGUUAUCCGGAUUUACUGGGCGUAAAACGAGCGCAGGCGGGUUUGUAAGUUUGGUAUUAAAUCUAGAUGCUUAACGUCUAGCUGUAUCAAAAACUGUAAACCUAGAGUGUAGUAGGGAGUUGGGGAACUCCAUGUGGAGCGGUAAAAUGCGUAGAUAUAUGGAAGAACACCGGUGGCGAAGGCGCCAACUUGGACUAUCACUGACGCUUAGACUCGAAAGUGUG
rnacentral:rRNA from 1 species